rnacentral:rRNA from 1 species
AAACGACUCUCGGCAACGGAUAUCUCGGCUCUCGCAUCGAUGAAGAACGUAGCGAAAUGCGAUACUUGGUGUGAAUUGCAGAAUCCCGUGAACCAUCGAGUCUUUGAACGCAAGUUGCGCCCGAAGCCAUCCGGUUGAGGGCACGUCUGCCUGGGCGUCAAUC